rnacentral:rRNA from 1 species
CGUGCCUACGGGAGGCAGCAGUGGGGAAUAUUGCACAAUGGGGGGAACCCUGAUGCAGCGACGCCGCGUGAGUGAAGAAGUAUUUCGGUAUGUAAAGCUCUAUCAGCAGGGAAGAAGAUGACGGUACCUGACUAAGAAGCCCCGGCUAACUACGUGCCAGCAGCCGCGGUAAUACGUAGGGGGCAAGCGUUAUCCGGAUUUACUGGGUGUAAAGGGAGCGUAGACGGUUAAGUAAGUCUGGAGUGAAAGGCCGGGGCCCAAGCCCGGGCCUGCUGUGGCAACUAUUCCACUUGACGGCA